AGUCCCACAUCGACUAGAGAUAAGGCCAAUUCAUAGUAUAUAAGUAGGUGUAAACCUCACCUUACAAGCCGGUUUUGUGGGGUUGAGUUAGGCUUAAAUACCAUUUCUUAACAUGGUAUCAGAGCCAUGAUUAGAGUUUAUCUUAGCGAUAUUUGUUAUUUGUUGGAAAUAUUGUUCCACCCGCUAUUGGACCACUCAUUAAUGUCUAGUCCUACGCUCGAGAUGUAUAUACUUUGGAGUGAGGGAGGUGUGUUGGAGUCCCACAUCGACUAGAGAUAAGGCCAAUUCAUAGUAUAUAAGU
rnacentral:sRNA from 1 species